AUGGAUAGAUAGAUAGAUGGAUGGAUGGAUGGAGACAGAUAAUAGAUGAUGGAUAGAUAGAUAGAUGGAUGGAUGGAGACAGAUAAUAGAUAGAUGAUGGAUAGAUAAGAGAUGCUUAAGUUUUGUAGUAGAUGGUAAUUGACAGUGACAGACAAAUGGCUGAGAUGCAGAAAAUAAGAGACUGAGGAGUGCUCAGCCCUAAAUGGGACAUCUCUAUCACACACCCCCUCCCUAGGCGCAGAGGACAUCCCUGAAGGGAUGGGAACAACAGGAAAAGCCACAGGCAAUGGGUCACAGCAGCUGUCUGUAUUUCUCAGCCUGGGUCUUUACCAGCCCUCUUCUCUGUCUCCGUGCCCCUGCCAACUCUUUGCCCAGACUCUGAAGCUCCUCCACCAAACUCAAUCUUCCUCCUGAUUCACUGCUCCGCACUCCAUUUCUCCAUCCCAAACCCUUCAUGGCCCUCAGACAGACAUGCUCAAGGGCCUCCCAAGGCUUUCCACCGCUGAGGAGCAAACUUGACUGGCCUGGCACAGCAGGAAGGUCACCAGGACUCACAUUAGUUUGCCUUCUGCAGCUACAGGUCCUGUGCCCCCACUCACUGCUUUUCUGGAAGACGGGACAAAUGGCAAUGCUAGACCGUAUCCAGGGAAAGUGCCUGCACGACCCACGAGGGCUUCCUGUAUCGGCUCACAUACACUCAGGAAUAGAAUAUACUGGGGUCCCACGUAGACUGUGACGGUAUCUCCCCCUCAGCCGCAGAGUCAAGGCCCAGACCUCAAAAGCUGCCUCUAGUGAUGGGUCCUUCCUCUCACUGGAUCAUUCUCUCUGAUGGUGUCUGGGUCUCGUCAGGGAAGAAUCCCAACGUGAGCUCUGUGGUUUCAAACUCAUGACCAUCUCUCACAUACCAUUCGCUGAGGGCCCUGCUCCCAGCUAUGCUGAGAAUUUCGCAGCCUUGGACUCGUGAGUUUCACAGACUCCACACAUGCAAGUGCUGCUCUCCACAGUGGAGACCUCUACCAGAACCCAUCUCCCUCCCUCCCUUCCCACUGCGUGUUCUCUUAAGAAUUCUAGAAGCUUCUCUAUUGCCACACCGUGGCUGGAAGAAAAUUCCCAACCUGACCUGGAGACACCUGUUGAACCACGGACUUGCAACUCCUUGUUGCCUGAGGAUCUCUUCCUUCCUUCACCUCCUGCCUCCUCACCCCGAUCUCUACUUCCGGCCUCCUCGCCACGAUCUCUACCUCCGGCCUCCUCACCCCUACCCCCUCCACAUCUCACCCCUUGAAAGCAUUUGCAUACGCUUGUGGGAACUGUUUGGAAGGUGGUUUCCAGCAAAGGCAGAAGCCACUGUCCCUGAGAGAGACGGCCCCUUGAGCUGGAGCCACCCCAGGUUCAGACUAGCCAGAUGCCCAGGAGGGAGACUGAGAAGGAGAAGCCAUGGGGACACUGUGGAAGAUGGGGUGGGGACACCCUAAGAGUCAGAGGUUUGAGGAGCUUGCUGUGAAAUUGUGUCUCCAAGGAACGUCAGAAGCUACACCUAUACUGCCUCACCAACAUGAACAAGGACAUCAGCAGAUGUGCCAUAGCGGAAGGGGGGAAACCCACACGUCUCAGCCCUGCAGGAAGAGCUACAGGCAGCUGAGGAACGCUGAAGCUGGAGAAGUAGCCUUCCCACGGAAGAGCACACCAAGUCAUCCAAUGCCAAAUGGCCAGUCCUGAGCACAUACAGACAAGCGACAUUAUACAGACAGAGAAGAUAUUUAGAACAUCCGGCAUUAGUCACUUGUUGUUCCAAGAGUUUACAAUACAGCAGUGAACAAAGCAGCAUGUUGACCCUUCGCAAGCCUGGCACGGCUGUGACGGAGACCUUCUCAACGAAAGACCUUCUGGAAAAAUCCCUAGGGGAGAACAUGACACCACAGACAGAAGUGAGAGCAUUGAAAUCCGUUGACCCUCUUCCCUCCGCCCAUUCAGCGGGGCAGAAAGAGAAUCUGGUACUUUGGUGGGAUUUUGCUUACACCACUCUCCUUGGGACUGAUGUCAAUGUCCUUAGGAUCCACGGGACUGGACACAGAGAAGUUCUGGAGGAUGGUGGUGAAGAAAAGGAACAAUUCGUUGCUGGCGAUGCCUUCUCCAAGACACAUGCGCUUUCCUGUAGGCACAGAGGAUGAGACAUGUGAGCCCCAGGGCAGUAAACAACCUUCAGACUGUCCCAUCCCUAAACCCAGACAACUCUGCCCAUUGCAAUGAAUAAGUUUGUGUUUGACUCUUAGCUUGCAGUUCUAACAGACUAUAAAAAAGUCCUCCAUACCUCAAAAAAAUGGGUGUAAAUACUAGGUGGAUGGCCUGUAUUCACUUGUGACAGAGUUGGAUUUCCAAAGCACCUGUUGUCCCAGAGGAAGUAAAGAUCAUGUUGGAGUUGGGUAUGGA